GACGAACGCUGGCGGCGUGCUUAACACAUGCAAGUCGAACGGAAAGGCCCGCUUGCGGGUACUCGAGUGGCGAACGGGUGAGUAACACGUGGGCAACCUGCCCUCAGCUUUGGGAUAACACUUGGAAACAGGUGCUAAUACCGGAUAUGACCUGUGCGGGCAUCCGUGUGGGUUGAAAGUUUUUUCGGCUGAGGAUGGGCCCGCGGCCUAUCAGCUUGUUGGUGGGGUGAUGGCCUACCAAGGCGACGACGGGUAGCCGGCCUGAGAGGGCGACCGGCCACACUGGGACUGAGACACGGCCCAGACUCCUACGGGAGGCAGCAGUGGGGAAUAUUGCGCAAUGGGCGAAAGCCUGACGCAGCGACGCCGCGUGAGGGAUGACGGCCUUCGGGUUGUAAACCUCUUUCAGCAGGAACGAAUUUGACGGUACCUGCAGAAGAAGCACCGGCUAACUACGUGCCAGCAGCCGCGGUAAUACGUAGGGUGCAAGCGUUGUCCGGAUUUAUUGGGCGUAAAGAGCUCGUAGGCGGUUUGUCGCGUCGAAUGUGAAAGCCCGGGGCUUAACUCCGGGUCUGCAUUCGAUACGGGCAGACUAGAGUUCGGUAGGGGAGACUGGAAUUCCUGGUGUAGCGGUGAAAUGCGCAGAUAUCAGGAGGAACACCGGUGGCGAAGGCGGGUCUCUGGGCCGAUACUGACGCUGAGGAGCGAAAGCGUGGGGAGCGAACAGGAUUAGAUACCCUGGUAGUCCACGCCGUAAACGGUGGGCGCUAGGUGUGGGGGUCCUUCCACGACCUCUGUGCCGCAGCUAACGCAUUAAGCGCCCCGCCUGGGGAGUACGGCCGCAAGGCUAAAACUCAAAGGAAUUGACGGGGGCCCGCACAAGCGGCGGAGCAUGCGGAUUAAUUCGAUGCAACGCGAAGAACCUUACCAAGGCUUGACAUGCACGGGAAACAUUCAGAGAUGGGUGCCCCGCAAGGUCCGUGCACAGGUGGUGCAUGGUUGUCGUCAGCUCGUGUCGUGAGAUGUUGGGUUAAGUCCCGCAACGAGCGCAACCCUUGUCUCAUGUUGCCAGCACGUUAUGGUGGGGACUCAUGAGAGACUGCCGGGGUCAACUCGGAGGAAGGUGGGGAUGACGUCAAAUCAUCAUGCCCCUUAUGUCUUGGGCUUCACGCAUGCUACAAUGGCCGGUACAAAGGGCUGCGAAACCGUGAGGUGGAGCGAAUCCCAAAAAGCCGGUCUCAGUUCGGAUUGGGGUCUGCAACUCGACCCCAUGAAGUCGGAGUCGCUAGUAAUCGCAGAUCAGCAACGCUGCGGUGAAUACGUUCCCGGGCCUUGUACACACCGCC
rnacentral:rRNA from 1 species